GGCAGUGAUGCGUGUAAUUUGCGUCAGAUGUCAUGUUUGGUGAUGGUUGCCUACUGUCUUAUGCCAGCUUGACUAACUGAUGAUAUCUUUAACUGAGCU